UACGUAGGGGGCGAGCGUUGUCCGGAUUUACUGGGCGUAAAGCGCGUGUAGGUGGCGCCUUAAGUCGGGUGUGAAAGCCCGGGGCUCAACCCCGGGACGCCGCCCGAAACUGGGGCGCUUGAGGCCGGAAGAGGGGAGUGGAAUUCCUGGUGUAGCGGUGAAAUGCGUAGAGAUCAGGAGGAACACCCGUGGCGAAGGCGGCUCCCUGGUCCGGCCCUGACGCUGAGACGCGAAAGCGUGGGGAGCGAACGGG
rnacentral:rRNA from 1 species